GGUGGUAUAGCUCAGUUGGUUAGAGCGCAGCAUUCAUAAUGCUGAUGUCGGUGGUUCAAGUCCACCUACCACCACCA
rnacentral:tRNA from 16 species